UACAGAGGGGCCAGCGUUAUUCGGAAUUAUUGGGCGUAAAGGGCGCGUAGGCGGCCAUGCGUGUCUUCCGUGAAAUCCCUCGGCUUAACUGAGGACGUGUGGAAGAAACUGCAAGGCUCGAGUCCGGGAGAGGGGGGUGGAAGUUCUCAGUGUAGCGGUGAAAUGCGCAGAGUAUCGGGAGGAACACCAAUGGCGAAGGCAGCUCGCUGGGACGGUACUGACGCUGAGACGGCGAAAGCGUGGGGAGCAAACA
rnacentral:rRNA from 1 species